ACCAGUAAUGUUUACCGUCUAAUAUAUAUUCACUUCGGCUCUUCCAUUUUCCACCAGAUAGAGCCUUAUCGCACACACAAUCUGAAAGAUUGUUUUUUCGGAUCUCCAUCCUUGUCAGCGAUCGCGAGUGGCUUUCUGUGCAUUUUCAAUACUGUGUCUGUGCUCAACACUUUCUGGUUCUCGAAACCGCUUUUUCUUAUUAUUAUAAGAAGAUGCCAUGCUCCUUUGCCAACAAAAUUAAUCUAUUCAUGACGAAAGCGAACUGAAUGCUUCGUUACACUUCAUGCAAACUUUCAAGCGAAUGCGAUCGUUAAUGUCCCA